rnacentral:misc_RNA from 1 species
GCAAUGUCCAUAUGAAAUUAAAAUAUAGGUGAAAAUUGAUCAAAUAAAUUGGGGUUAUAAAACAAAGUUUUGAAGGGGCCAUCCUUAUAUUUUGAAAAUUUUAGGUGAAAUUUUAAGGGUAUUUAAUUAAUUUUAGAAGCUCUGGAGGGCUGUAGCCCCAUGAAGGCUCUUCCUGAUUCUGCCUCUGAUUUUAUGGUUGGUGAACUACACAUUGGUUUUUUUGAAGUUGGCCCAGAGCAUCUUAUAUUUUGUUUGGUUAAAUUCAUUGGCUGCAAAGGAAUUUUGGAGUAAUUUGUAGUUCUUUGGAACAGACAAGUUCUAAAAUCUAAGAACUGUUCUAGCCUUGGAUUGCUAGUUUGCUAACCUGGGAAAGUGAAAAUGAAGGGUUAUGUAUCAUGCUUUUGUAGUUCACACAGGAAGUUCACGAUUCAUUGGUUGUACAUGACUAGUAGUUAAUCUCGUACGCUAGGAAAUAGUCUCCUUGGGGUCUUUUCUUUUGUGAUAUGUGUACAUGCUAGAUCACGGACAAUUAAUUUUUCCUUUACUGUUACUGGAGCUAUUCCACAAUCAUUAUGUUUAUCUAUAAAAUUAGUCUUUAUGCUCUGCUUUCAAUGAUGACCUCUCAUUUUCAG